rnacentral:rRNA from 1 species
GACGAACGCUGGCGGCGUGCAUAAUACAUGCAAGUAGAACGCAGUUGCGAACGGGUGAGUAACGCGUAGGUAACUGCCUGGUAGCGGGGGAUAACUAUUGGAAACGCUAGCUAAUACCGCAUACUACCAGAUGGACCUGCGUUGUAUUAGCUAGUUGGUGAGGUAACGGUUCACCAAGGCAACGAUACAUAGCAGACCUGGGAUUGGGGUCGGUCCAACUGGUACUGAGACACGGCCCAGACUCCUACGGUAGGCAGUAGUAUGGAAUCGUCGGCAAUGGGGGGAACCCUGACCUGGCAACGCCGCGGGAGUGAAGAAGGUUUUCGGAUCGUAAAGCUCUGUUGUGAAGGGAGCGGUACUUAACCAGAAAGGGACGGCUAACUACGUGCCAGCAGCCGCGGUAAUAC